GACGAACCGCCCGAACGUUAUUCGGAAUCACUGGGCUUAAAGGGAGCGUAGGCGGGCUGCCAAGUCCGGGGUGAAAUCCUCCAGCUUAACUGGAGAACUGCCUCGGAUACUGGAAGUCUCGAGGAGGGUGAGGGCACGCGGAACUGUGGGUGGAGCGGUGAAAUGCGUUGAUAUCCAUAGGAACUCCGGUGGCGAAGGCGGCGUGCUGGACCUUUCUGACGCUGAGGCUCGAAAGCCAGGGAGCAACGG
rnacentral:rRNA from 1 species